GACGAACGCUGGCGGCGUGCUUAACACAUGCAAGUCGAACGGAAAGGCCCUGCUUUUGUGGGGUGCUCGAGUGGCGAACGGGUGAGUAACACGUGAGUAACCUGCCCUUGACUUUGGGAUAACUUCAGGAAACUGGGGCUAAUACCGGAUAGGAGCUCCUGCUGCAUGGUGGGGGUUGGAAAGUUUCGGCGGUUGGGGAUGGACUCGCGGCUUAUCAGCUUGUUGGUGGGGUAGGGGCUUACCAAGGCUUUGACGGGUAGCCGGCCUGAGAGGGUGACCGGCCACAUUGGGCCUGCGAUACGGCCCAGACUCCUACGGGAGGCAGCAGUGGGGAAUAUUGCACAAUGGGCGGAAGCCUGAUGCAGCAACGCCGCGUGCGGGAUGACGGCCUUCGGGUUGUAAACCGCUUUCGCCUGUGACGAAGCGUGAGUGACGGUAAUGGGUAAAGAAGCACCGGCUAACUACGUG
rnacentral:rRNA from 1 species